CUUUGCAGAAGUGGGGGAUGGCUGUGGGAAGAGGAGCUGCUUGGGAGCCUGGAUGGCUCUCUGCAGGCACAUGGGAGACUUGCAGCCAUCAGUACCUCGUGACUGAGAAGCAUAUCUUGCAGCUGAGAGGGCAAAGGAUAUCGGGCCAAAUUUGUCAAUACUGUCCAGCAAUUCUGAUGCCUCGAUAGCAAGUCAAAGCAGCUGUGUUGAGGGUAGUGUCUGGCUGCCCUGCAUGCCACCCAAAAAUGCAAUGGGGGCUGUGCAAAGUGCCUGGUCCUUGUCAAUGAUGUGAAGUCCCACAGAUGUCCGAGUCUGCUCACAACUUCUGAAGAGUCAAUCCAUGUGAGCUGGAGCUGCUCAGAGCACAGUACAAGGCACAGCUAUUUUUGUGGGCUCUCUUUUACAAAUAAAGACCU